rnacentral:rRNA from 1 species
GAUGAACGCUAGCGACAGGCCUAACACAUGCAAGUCGAGGGGCAGCACAUGCGUAGCAAUACAAUGGUGGCGACCGGCGCACGGGUGAGUAACACGUAUGCAACCUACCUGUAAGAGGGGAAUAACCCGGAGAAAUUCGGACUAACACCGCAUAAUACCUCGAAGCUGCAUGGCUUUGAGGUUAAAUAUUUAUAGCUUACAGAUGGGCAUGCGUAACAUUAGAUAGUUGGUGAGGUAACGGCUCACCAAGUCAACGAUGUUUAGGGGUUCUGAGAGGAAGGUCCCCCACACUGGUACUGAGACACGGACCAGACUCCUACGGGAGGCAGCAGUGAGGAAUAUUGGUCAAUGGGCGAGAGCCUGAACCAGCCAAGUCGCGUGAAGGAAGAAGGUUCAAUGGAUUGUAAACUUCUUUUGUAAGGGAAUAAAAAGGCUUACGUGUAGGCUAUUGUAUGUACUUUACGAAUAAGGAUCGGCUAACUCCGUGCCAGCAGCCGCGGUAAUAC